UACGAAGGUGGCAAGCGUUGUUCGGAUUUACUGGGCGUACAGGGAGCGUAGGCGGUUGGAUAAGCCCUCCGUGAAAUCUCCAGGCUUAACCUGGAAAGUGCAGAGGGGACUGUUCAGCUAGAGGGUGGGAGAGGAGCGCGGAAUUCCCGGUGUAGCGGUGAAAUGCGUAGAGAUCGGGAGGAAGGCCGGUGGCGAAGGCGGCGCUCUGGAACAUUUCUGACGCUGAGGCUCGAAAGCGUGGGGAGCAAACAGG
rnacentral:rRNA from 1 species